AUCUUUAUACAAGCUCUUCAGCGGGAGAGAAACAAGUGAGAUGGGACUGAGACCCCAGGGCACAGACAGACUCAAACAGGGAGCAGGACGUCCCCAGAGAAGCCCCACAGGAUGUGCAGACCAGACACUCCAACAGCCCGGACCCUGCAGAGCGACUGUGUGUGUGCGAGUCUGUGUGUGCGCGUGUGUGAUGGCGCGAGUGUGCAUUGUGUGUGUAGGUGAGUGUAGGUGUGUGAGUGUGCAUGUGUGUGACUGUAGGUGUGUGCAUGUGUGUAGGUGUGUGUGCACAUGUGAAUGUAGGUGUUUGCAUGUGUGAGUGUAGGGUGUGUGUGUAGGUGUGUGCGCACAUGUGAAUGUAGGUGUUUGCAUGUGUGAGUGUAGGUGUGUGUGCGCGCGUGUGUGUGAAUGUGUGAGCGUGUGUGUGCGUGUGUUCACAUACCUGGAACACAUCCACUGAAUGACACUGGAAGCCGUAACCACGGAAUCACACAAAAGCUCAGAAAUAUUCAGAAUUCAAUCAAAAAUACUGGUCAGAGUUUUGUGACGCUACAAAGCUUAUGAACGAACGCACAGUUCCUUCAGAGGUUUUUCGGCCCAGCCUGGCCACAUUUAAAUAUCCUCAGAGGCAAAG
rnacentral:lncRNA from 1 species